rnacentral:lncRNA from 1 species
AGGGACGCUCGCCGCUCCGAGAGCUCGUGGUCCCCGGCAUGGAGCGGCGGGCGUGGGGGACCUGGGCGCGCUCCGAGCAGCUAGGCGCGCGGGUCCCAUGGUCUCGCGGGGCUCAGGAGGCCGCCGCUCUGGGCCGCGCGCUUACUUGCGCUUCCCCAGGCACGGAGGGCAGUGGCGACGACGGGGAGGACGAGGGCGCCGACUACUACGAGAACCUGCCCGCGGGCUGCGCGCCCGAGGGGGCGGAGGCGCUGCGGGCCUCGCCUUCGCAAGCGGCGGGCUCCUCCCCGGGGAUGGAGGGCGGCCGC